UACGGAGGGUGCAAGCGUUAUCCGGAUUCACUGGGUUUAAAGGGUGCGUAGGUGGGCAGGUAAGUCAGUGGUGAAAUCUCCGGGCUUAACCCGGAAACUGCCGUUGAUACUAUUUGUCUUGAAUAUAGUGGAGGUGAGCGGAAUAUGUCAUGUAGCGGUGAAAUGCUUAGAUAUGACAUAGAACAUCGAUUGCGAAGGCAGCUCGCUACACUAUUAUUGACACUGAGGCACGAAAGCGUGGGGAUCAAACAGG
rnacentral:rRNA from 1 species